rnacentral:rRNA from 1 species
UACAGAGGUCUCAAGCGUUGUUCGGAUUCAUUGGGCGUAAAGGGCGCGUAGGCUGCGGGGCAAGUCGGGUGUGAAAAUCUCAGAGCUCAACUCUGAAACUGCACUCGAUACUGCUUUGCUCGAGGACUGGAGAGGAGAUUGGAAAUUCACGGUGUAGCAGUGAAAAUGCGUAGAUAUCGUGAGGAAGACCAGUGGCGAAGGCGGAUCUCUGGACAGUUCCUGACGCUGAGGCGCGAAGGCCAGGGGGAGCAAAACGGGG